GGUAUGCAGGAUCGGUUGCAACGGUUUCACAUUCAUGUGAAUCAAGAGAUUGGCUUGAAUUGAAAGGCUUUCCAACUAGCCAUUGUACCUGAGAUUGCGAUAAGUCCUUCUUCUUUGGAGCUUGUUCUUGGUCCCAAGGGAAAUGGGGUGACAAAGAAGAAGAAGAGACUUAAAAAAACUAUAUGUGCUUGGUUGUUGACCAACAGAAAGGAUGCAUGG
rnacentral:lncRNA from 1 species